rnacentral:rRNA from 1 species
UCGAGCGAACAGACGAGGAGCUUGCUCCUCUGACGUUAGCGGCGGACGGGUGAGUAACACGUGGAUAACCUACCUAUAAGACUGGGAUAACUUCGGGAAACCGGAGCUAAUACCGGAUAACAUGUUGAACCGCAUGGUUCAACAGUGAAAGACGGUCUUGCUGUCACUUAUAGAUGGAUCCGCGCCGCAUUAGCUAGUUGGUAAGGUAACGGCUUACCAAGGCAACGAUGCGUAGCCGACCUGAGAGGGUGAUCGGCCACACUGGAACUGAGACACGGUCCAGACUCCUACGGGAGGCAGCAGUAGGGAAUCUUCCGCAAUGGGCGAAAGCCUGACGGAGCAACGCCGCGUGAGUGAAGAAGGUCUUCGGAUCGUAAAACUCUGUUAUUAGGGAAGAACAAAUGUGUAAGUAACUAUGCACGUCUUGACGGUACCUAAUCAGAAAGCCACGGCUAACUACGUGCCAGCAGCCGCGGUAAUACGUAGGUGGCAAGCGUUAUCCGGAAUUAUUGGGCGUAAAGCGCGCGUAGGCGGUUUUUUAAGUCUGAUGUGAAAGCCCACGGCUCAACCGUGGAGGGUCAUUGGAAACUGGAAAACUUGAGUGCAGAAGAGGAAAGUGGAAUUCCAUGUGUAGCGGUGAAAUGCGCAGAGAUAUGGAGGAACACCAGUGGCGAAGGCGACUUUCUGGUCUGUAACUGACGCUGAUGUGCGAAAGCGUGGGGAUCAAACAGGAUUAGAUACCCUGGUAGUCCACGCCGUAAACGAUGAGUGCUAAGUGUUAGGGGGUUUCCGCCCCUUAGUGCUGCAGCUAACGCAUUAAGCACUCCGCCUGGGGAGUACGACCGCAAGGUUGAAACUCAAAGGAAUUGACGGGGACCCGCACAAGCGGUGGAGCAUGUGGUUUAAUUCGAAGCAACGCGAAGAACCCUUACCAAAUCUUGACAUCCUCUGACCCCUCUAGAGAUAGAGUUUUCCCCUUCGGGGGACAGAGUGACAGGUGGUGCAUGUGUCGUCAGCUCGUGUCGUGAGAUGUUGGGGUCAGGUCCCGCACGAGC